UUCUCAGCGUCUCUCAGAAUCUGCACAUCCUGUCCGUCCAUUCCAUCAUGAGCGUCCAGAAAGUGACACAUCAUGGAACAUUUAAAAUAGCAUCUAAACCGUUCAUCCCAUUAUAAUCCUCACGGCCCAUUCAAUUCCAAAAUCCCUUCGGCCUUCACAAAAAUACCUUCUCAGUUUGCCGUGAAUUUCCAACCUAGUCGGCGACGCAAACAGGGAGCUCCAUGGUUAUCGAUGAUUAGGCACCAUGAGAGAAUCACCAUAGUUUUGCCGAAAGCAACUUAUUGGGUCUGGGAGUGGUUGCCUUGUCAUUUAUGCUGACUAAAUAUUGUUGAAGCUAUAGAAGAUGGACCUUCACCCACUAGGAAUUGAUUGGGCAUUGGUGAAGCUAUAGAAGAUAGACCUUCACCUUCUAGGAAUUGAUUACACAUUGCUGAAGCUGUUAUGGAAAAUGGACCUUCACCUAAUGACAAGGAAGAAAGAAGAGCAAUGCAGAUGUUAGUAUAGUGUUAUAAAGAAUGACAGUUCUAUUUGGCAUCAUGAUGUAUUAUAUACAUUGAUUUUAAUAAAAGUGACAAUUUUCCCUUAA